AGUUUUCGGAGCCGCGCCCUCCUCCUCCCAGCGCGCUUCGAUCUGGACCAGCGAUCCUCCUCCUCCCAAUCGCUGGUCACCAUGAUGACGCCCACCGGAUCCUCCUCCCCCGGUGGGCGUUUUCU
rfam:Martelella sp. AD-3, complete genome.